CAUUGAAACACUAGUUCCCAUAUGAUCACUGAAGUUAAGCAAUGUAGAGUAUGAUCAGUACCUUGAUGGGUGACUGCUUAAGAAUACCAGGCAGGUG